CAGAAAGUAGUUCAAAGGUAGAACAAUUAAUUUGGAGUUAAGAGGUUGUAGGUUCGAAUCCUAUCUUUUUGA
rnacentral:tRNA from 1 species